CUUACACAUCCAUUCUGGGAAUAGCCUCAUAAAUUGCCUGGAAGUACAGGAGAAAUCGUUAAAUACGUAUGUGGCGCUUCAUGGUGUUAAAGCCUUCGAACGGAACAUAAAACUCGGGUUUCUGGAUUAGUGUUCUUUUAUCUGAAUGUAAUAUGACUUAUGGUCGAGACUAGCAAGUGAUACAGGCGUUUAUCUUGUUCACGAAAUCGGAUAAAUCUCCUUCGAUCACCAUAUUGUGACGGAUUUAUUAUCUUCUAAUCUGGCUGCCUCAUCUGCAAGAGGAGUUUUCUCGAUGGAGAAGGAGGACCUGAAGAGACAGGUGGAGAUGUUGCGGAUCCACAAGGACCUCCAAAGGAUGUUCGUGUCAGACGCAGUCAAGGAUAUGAUGGGUUUUAUCGACCAAAACAUUAAUGAAGACGGACUGAUUAUCCCGCCUGACAAGAAGAAGAACCCGUGGGAUAAUUCCAGGAAAUGUUCAAUAUUGUGAAAUUCAUUCAUGUUUAUCAAUCACAUAUAUGCUGUCCUUAUGGGAACAGUUUCUUUGUUAUUAAUACGAGUAUGCUUUUCGAAUUUUUAAAGUAGAUGCUACAGUGGUUUGAUGAAUAAUUUUCUAGAUUUAUUUGAAAUCAGGAACAAUAAAAAUGUUUUCAAUGUAAUCGUAAAGAAGCACUUGCAAUGCAAUAUAUAUCCACAUUUCCGAACAUUUAUCUUGCAUUUAUAAUACUUAACGAUCUAAUUCGUAAAUAUAAAUUGUGCUGUUAAGUUAAACAUAAACAAAUGAUCCAAAUCGUUUCAAUUCUAUAUGAAUGCAUUUAUUGUUCUUAGCCUUUAUUGUCCUAUUUGUUGUACCUGGUAUACGUUUUGAUUAUUCAUAUUUGUAUAAUGUAUGUUGUAUAUACCGUAGAACAUUGCGAAGGUCAUUUUAAUCCAUUCAUAUUUUUGUCAAGAUUGCAACAUUAGAAUGGCAAUUUACAUUCCAACAUGAGUUAUGAUUCCAUUUUGAUUAUUUUCCGAUCGUAUUUUGAAAUAAGAUACAAAUACGAUACGGGUAUUCUGUUUUACCAAACACCACUGUCUUAGAGUGUGAAGGUUUAAAUGAAUAUUUGUUAAUAGUGUUACCUUUAUAAUAUCAUUCGAAUUAAUAUGUAUAAUUUGACAAAGCAGAUAUUUUGCAAACUAGAGACACCUGUUGACAAUAAAAGUAUUUUUUAGAUGAUCUAUCUUAGAUUUCGGUAACAGAUUUGGGCUUUACCAGUGAAAUAACAAUAGUAGAAAGUACAUGUAAAUCAAUUAUUGCUCCUUCUCUUUCAUCAAAAAUGAAUACUUCAAUUUUGAACGACAAAUUAUGCCAAACAAAAUGUUUCAAUAAAAUUAUGUUUUUCUAUUUCUAUGAAAUAAAAUACGAUCUAACACUUUAAUCAACACUAAUCCUCUACAUAUUUCCACCUUAAAUAUAUCGCAUUAUCAGUUUCGAAAAGAGUGUUCUUGUUUUUAUUGUUAUCCAAUAUUUAAUGCAAUCGAACUAAUAUAUUUUCUGUUUUCAUUUUUUUUGUUCAUUUGUUGGUCACCUUUGCUGAAUGAUCUUCAUCUUUACUCAUACAGUGCUGAGAGCGUUUAAAUAUGAAAAUAUCUUGAAACGAUCUGCCUCUAUUACAAGUACAUUGAAUUGUGGUUUUGCAUCCACGUAUUGCCGUUUCCCGACGAGUCGAACUGUACGCAUAACAAGGUUUUGUAGAAAAUAAUAAAAAAAAAGAAAAAAAGAAAUGUACUGUCAUUUCAAGAGGAAAGUGCUCCUGCAUGACGAAUCUUAAGCAGAGCCAUUGCUCGUCCACCAGCAUUCACAUUUGAACGCCUCUUGCAUUAAGGUUAUCAACCUGUUUGUAGAAGUUGUCGAUGUAUCAACAUUCUUCACUUUGUACAAAUCGUGUUAUUGACAUGUAUAAUAAACACAACA